rnacentral:rRNA from 1 species
UACGUAGGGGGCAAGCGUUGUCCGGAUUUAUUGGGCGUAAAGAGCGUGUAGGCGGUUAGGUAGGUCCGUUGUGAAAACUCGAGGCUUAACCUCGAGAUGUCGGCGGAAACCAUCUGGCUAGAGUCCGGAAGAGGAGAGUGGAAUUCCUGGUGUAGCGGUGAAAUGCGCAGAUAUCAGGAAGAACACCCCGUGGCGAAGGCGGCUCUCUGGGACGGUACUGACGCUGAGACGCGAAAGCGUGGGGAGCGAACAGG